GACGAACGCUGGCGGCGUGCUUAACACAUGCAAGUCGAGCGGUAAGGCCCUUUCGGGGGUACACGAGCGGCGAACGGGUGAGUAACACGUGGGUGACCUGCCCUCAGCUCUGGGAUAAGCCCGGGAAACUGGGUCUAAUACCGGAUAUGACUUCAUGACGCAUGUUGUGGAGUGGAAAGCCUUGUGCGGCUGAGGAUGGGCCCGCGGCCUAUCAGCUUGUUGGUGGGGNGAUGGCCUACCAAGGCGACGACGGGUAGCCGGCCUGAGAGGGCGACCGGCCACACUGGGACUGAGAUACGGCCCAGACUCCUACGGGAGGCAGCAGGUGGGGAAUCUUGCGCAAUGGGCGAAAGCCUGACGCAGCGACGCCGCGUGA
rnacentral:rRNA from 1 species